CCUACGGGAGGCAGCAGUGAGGAAUAUUGGUCAAUGGACGCAAGUCUGAACCAGCCAUGCCGCGUGCAGGAUGACGGCUCUAUGAGUUGUAAACUGCUUUUGUACGAGGGUAAACCCCGAUACGUGUAUCGGGUUGAAAGUAUCGUAUGAAUAAGGAUCGGCUAACUCCGUGCCAGCAGCCGCGGUAAUACGGAGGAUCCGAGCGUUAUCCGGAUUUAUUGGGUUUAAAGGGUGCGUAGGCGGUUUGUUAAGUUAGAGGUGAAAUGUUGGGGCUCAACCCCGGAACUGCCUCUAAUACUGUUGGACUUGAGAAUAGUUGCGGUAGGCGGAAUGUAUGGUGUAGCGGUGAAAUGCUUAGAGAUCAUACAGAACACCGAUUGCGAAGGCAGCUUACCAAACUAUAUCUGACGUUGAGGCACGAAAGCGUGGGUAGCAAACAGGAUUAGAUACCCCAGUAGUC
rnacentral:rRNA from 1 species